CCGGGGCUAAUACCGGAUGGUUGUCUGAACCGCAUGGUUCAGACAUAAAAGGUGGCUUCGGCUACCACUUACAGAUGGACCCGCGGCGCAUUAGCUAGUUGGUGAGGUAACGGCUCACCAAGGCGACGAUGCGUAGCCGACCUGAGAGGGUGAUCGGCCACACUGGGACUGAGACACGGCCCAGACUCCUACGGGAGGCAGCAGUAGGGAAUCUUCCGCAAUGGACGAAAGUCUGACGGAGCAACGCCGCGUGAGUGAUGAAGGUUUUCGGAUCGUAAAGCUCUGUUGUUAGGGAAGAACAAGUGCCGUUCAAAUAGGGCGGCACCUUGACGGUACCUAACCAGAAAGCCACGGCUAACUACGUGCCAGCAGCCGCGGUAAUACGUAGGUGGCAAGCGUUGUCCGGAAUUAUUGGGCGUAAAGGGCUCGCAGGCGGUUUCUUAAGUCUGAUGUGAAAGCCCCCGGCUCAACCGGGGAGGGUCAUUGGAAACUGGGGAACUUGAGUGCAGAAGAGGAGAGUGGAAUUCCACGUGUAGCGGUGAAAUGCGUAGAGAUGUGGAGGAACACCAGUGGCGAAGGCGACUCUCUGGUCUGUAACUGACGCUGAGGAGCGAAAGCGUGGGGAGCGAACAGGAUUAGAUACCCUGGUAGUCCACGCC
rnacentral:rRNA from 1 species